UACGUAGGGGGCUAGCGUUGUCCGGAAUCAUUGGGCGUAAAGAGCGUGUAGGCGGCCCGGUAAGUCCGCUGUGAAAGUCGGGGGCUCAACCCUCGGAUGCCGGUGGAUACUGUCGAACUAGAGUACGGAAGAGGCGAGUGGAAUUCCUGGUGUAGCGGUGAAAUGCGCAGAUAUCAGGAGGAACACCGAUUGCGAAGGCAGCUCGCUGGGACGUUACUGACGCUGAGACGCGAAAGCGUGGGGAGCAAACAGG
rnacentral:rRNA from 1 species